UUGUAAAUAAACCCUUUGACGUUUGAAGCGAGAUCAGAUAAACUAUUAAUUUUUUUUUAGCGCAAAUAAAUAUAUAAGGAUAUUUUUAUUGUAUUCUAAGCUCCUAAUUAGAUGGUAUCUAAAAAAAAUUUUUGAAAUUGCUUUAAUAUUAAAAAACCUUUUAAGUUUGAUUUUAAAAAAUAAAAAAUAAAGAAAAAUGAACGCUACCAUUUUCAAUUCGUUGCCGCCUUCACCACCAUUAACACUCCACCGCAUGCAACCCCUCACCUCUUUAUCACCAUUAGAACAACCAAAAACCUAACUAUGGGUCUAAACUCUUUCAAAAAUCAAAUACCCAAAAGCUAUUCCUUUCGUAGUUCAAAAAUCAAAUAUCCAAAAGCUAAAAGCCAUUCCUUUCCUAGUUCAAAUACCAACAAUCCCACCUCCAUAGUUCAUUCCUUUCCUAUUUUCCUUUCUAAAAAAUUCAGUUUUCUUCUCUCUACAACUGCUGCUCACAUCAAUUUAUAUCCUCUUUCUUUAAUUUGUUUGUUCUUCCUUUUGAUCCUUUAAUAUUUCUUUUAGAACUGUAGCUCAUAAAUCUAGCGAUUUUAGCAUCAUUCAUCAUAGCAACGCCAUCAUAACAGUUCUGCUCUUUGCUUGCAGCAGGGCUUGUUCUCGAGUCAUCCUUUCAUGGUACCAUUUGUUGUGUUGAUGGGUUUUGACAACUUUGUCUUUAGAUGCAAAGGCAUUUGCAACCAUUGAUUGUGCUUUAAGAAUGUACUGAAGACAUUUGCAGCCGUUGAUGGAGCCUUAAAAAUAGAAUGUUGUCUUUAGAUGCGAAGGAUGUUUGCUUGAGGAUGCCACAACUGUUCUACUUGAGAGGCUGAAGCAAAUUGAGAUAUGGCCGAGGCAACAUUUGAAAUAUGUUGUUGGUCAAUUAAUUGCGGCAAGGAAUGUUGUUGUUUUUGCUUUUGGGUAUUUGAUUUUUAGAAGAGAUUAGAACA